GAGAGGACCGGGAUGGACGGACCACUGGUGUACCUGUUGGCGACCAACGCCAUGGCAGGGUAGCCAAGUCCGGCAGGGAUAAACGCUGAAGGCAUCUAAGCGUGAAGCCCCCCUCAAGAUGAGAUAUCCCAAGUAGUAAGACCCCUUAGAGAGUAUGAGGUAGAUAGGCUUAAGGUGUAAGUGCAGUAAUGCAUUCAGCUGAUAAGUACUAAUCGGUCGAGGGCUUGACCAA
rnacentral:rRNA from 1 species